GGAAGGCAAACUUCCUUUGCCGUGUCCGGUGCCAGCGCCCAUCCACCCCUGCGCCGAUACGGUUUGGACCCGCCCGGUUGUCCCCCCGGGCGGGUC
rnacentral:sRNA from 1 species